GACGAACGCUGGCGGCGUGCCUAAUACAUGCAAGUCGAGCGGACUGGAGGGAGCUUGCUCCCAAAGGUCAGCGGCGGACGGGUGAGUAACACGUGGGUAACCUGCCUGGUAGACUGGGAUAACGCUUGGAAACGAGUGCUAAUACCGGAUAAUCUCCUGAAUCGCAUGGUUCAAGAGUAAAAGGAGCUUUCGCUUCACUGCCAGAUGGACCCGCGGCGCAUUAGCUAGUUGGUGAGGUAACGGCUCACCAAGGCGACGAUCGGUAGCCGGACUGAGAGGUUGAACGGCCACAUUGGGACUGAGACACGGCCCAG
rnacentral:rRNA from 1 species